GACGAACGCUGGCGGCGUGCCUAAUACAUGCAAGUCGAACGCUUCUUCGAAAGGUGCUUGCACCUUUCAUAUAAGAAGAGUGGCGGACGGGUGAGUAACACGUGGGUAACCUGCCCUUCAGCGGGGGAUAACAUUUGGAAACAGAUGCUAAUACCGCAUAAUUGGUUUCACCGCAUGGUGAAACUAUGAAAGACGCUUUACGGUGUCACUGAAGGAUGGACCCGCGCUGCAUUAGUUAGUUGGUGAGGUAACGGCUCACCAAGACCGUGAUGCAUAGCCGACCUGAGAGGGUGAUCGGCCACACUGGGACUGAGACACGGCCCAGACUCCUACGGGAGGCAGCAGUAGGGAAUCUUCGGCAAUGGACGAAAGUCUGACCGAGCAACGCCGCGUGAGUGAAGAAGGUUUUCGGAUCGUAAAACUCUGUUGUUAGAGAAGAACAAGUGGGAGAGUAACUGUUCCCACCUUGACGGUAUCUAACCAGAAAGCCACGGCUAACUACGUGCCA
rnacentral:rRNA from 1 species